UGCAAAAACUCAAGUUCUGACUGCUGGCAUUGGCAGUUUCCCUCUGGCUAAGGGUGGUUGAAAUGCAUCCUCUGUGGUCUGGCGUCAGCUGAGUUUGGUCCAGUUUUUCUUUCUGCUAUAACAAGGGCAGCACUGAGUUCAAUGCCUCACAGUUGCUGGCUCUCCCUCUCCCCAGGGCACAGAAACGCUCUUCAGACCAUACUCCUACUGCCAGGGGAUGGAGAAGGCAUGGUGUCAGCAAUUCAAGACUGUUUUUCCUACCUCUUCAGUGUCUCUUUCGGCAAAAUGAAGUGAAAAUCAGAUCUCUGCCAUCAUGUGAGAGAGAGCCUGAGUUAGCCUGCUGGAUGGUCAAAGAUGAGUGGUGCAGCUAAGUGAAAGCCUGCUGACUUGUAGACAUAUGAGUAAGGCCAUGCUUGAUCACCUGGCUGCCAGCUGGCCUGCCAACUAAUUGCAGGUACUUGAAAGAGUCCAGCAGAGAUCAGCCACCCCAGGUCAAAUAAACACCCAGCCCCC
rnacentral:lncRNA from 1 species